rnacentral:rRNA from 1 species
GAUGAACGCUGGCGGCGUGCCUAAUACAUGCAAGUCGAGCGAACAGAUGAGGAGCUUGCUCCUCUGACGUUAGCGGCGGACGGGUGAGUAACACGUGGAUAACCUACCUAUAAGACUGGGAUAACUUCGGGAAACCGGAGCUAAUACCGGAUAAUAUAUUGAACCGCAUGGUUCAAUAGUGAAAGACGGUUUUGCUGUCACUUAUAGAUGGAUCCGCGCCGCAUUAGCUAGUUGGUAAGGUAACGGCUUACCAAGGCAACGAUGCGUAGCCGACCUGAGAGGGUGAUCGGCCACACUGGAACUGAGACACGGUCCAGACUCCUACGGGAGGCAGCAGUAGGGAAUCUUGCGCAAUGGGCGAAAGCCUGACGGAGCAACGCCGCGUGAGUGAUGAAGGUCUUCGGAUCGUAAAACUCUGUUAUUAGGGAAGAACAAAUGUGUAAGUAACUAUGCACGUCUUGACGGUACCUAAUCAGAAAGCAACGGCUAACUACGUG